CUGAUGUCCCCGCCGCCCCUGUCCCGCUGGGACGUGGCACCCAAGCUCAGAGUAAAAAACGGAGGGCCUGCUAUAGCCCGGCACCAGGAACGUGUUUCAAGAAAAGCCCACCACCACCGCCAUGUCCCUAUUUGACUUUUGCCAACGGGCUUGCAUAGGAACCAUGGGAGACACUCUGAAAGGCCCUCGCUGGAAUCAGGGGAACAUUAUAAGCCGAAGACCCCAGA
rnacentral:lncRNA from 1 species